rnacentral:rRNA from 1 species
GACGAACGCUGGCGGCGUGCUUAACACAUGCAAGUCGAACGGAAAGGCCCUGCUUUUGUGGGGUGCUCGAUUGGCGAACGGGUGAGUAACACGUGAGUAACCUGCCCUUGACUUUGGGAUAACUUCAGGAAACUGGGGCUAAUACCGGAUAGGAGCUCCUGCUGCAUGUUGGGGGUUAGAAAGUUUCGGCGGUUGGGGAUGGACUCGCGGCUUAUCAGCUUGUUGGUGGGGUAGUGGCUUACCAAGGCUUUGACGGGUAGCCGGCCUGAGAGGGUGACCGGCCACAUUGGGACUGAGAUACGGCCCAGACUCCUACGGGAGGCAGAAGUGGGGAAUAUUGCACAAUGGGCGGAAGCCUGAUGCAGCAACGCCGCGUGCGGGAUGACGGCCUUCGGGUUGUAAACCGCUUUCGCCUGUGACGAAGCGUGAGUGACGGUAAUGGGUAAAGAAGCACCGGCUAACUACGUG